rnacentral:tRNA from 1 species
GCGGGUGUAGCUCAGUUGGCUAGAGCGAUACCUUGCCAAGGUAUAGGUCGACGGUUCGAGCCCGUUCACCCGCUCCA